AGAGUUUGAUCCUGGCUCAGGACGAACGCUGGCGGUGUGCUUCACACAUGCAAGUCGAACGGAGUAGCAAUACUCAGUGGCGGACGGGUGAGUAACACGUGGGAAUCUACCGUUAGGUGGGGAAUAACAGGCCGAAAGGACUGCUAAUGCCGCAUAUGUAGGCAUCUCGACAGAGAUGUUUAUGAAAGGAGUAAUCCGCCUUUUGAUGAGCCCGCGUCCGAUUAGCUAGUUGGUAGGGUAAAAGCCUACCAAGGCGACGAUCGGUAGGUGGUCUGAGAGGAUGAUCACCCACAAUGGGACUGAGACACGGCCCAUACUCCUACGGGAGGCAGCAGUGGGGAAUUUUACGCAAUGGGGGAAACCCUGACGUAGCGACACCGCGUGAGCGAAGAAGCCCUUUGGGGUGUAAAGCUCUGUCAACAGGAACGAAACAAAUGACGGUACCUGUGGAGGAAGCAUCGGCUAACUACGUGCCAGCAGCCGCGGUAAGACGUAGGAUGCAAGCGUUGUCCGGAUUUAUUGGGCGUAAAGAGUUCGUAGGCGGUUUGUUAAGUCUGAUGUUAAAGACCGGGGCUCAACCUCGGAAAUGCAUUGGAUACUGGCAGACUGGAGUGCAGUAGAGGCUAGUGGAAUUCCCAGUGUAGCGGUGAAAUGCGUAGA
rnacentral:rRNA from 1 species